GGGACCAUAAAACUGAUUUUGUAUGCAAGAAAACUUGCUCAACAGGAUGUAGGCAAGUUGGGGGUUUAUCACAGCCUCUUGGCAGUUUUGAAGGUUUCUGUGGGGGCAGGUGAGAACCCAGGAUAAAAAAACACGAGCAGACAUGUGAAGGGGCUGGGCAGCGGAGAGGGGAGCUGGGCAGCUGAGAGGAGGCAGUUAGAGAGCUGGAGAAGCCAGAGGAGCCUGGGACAAGACAUGUGAGGAAUGAAGACCAGAGGGGAAGGCAGAGAUGAAGCCGAACUCUAUUCCCCUGCCUUUUUGACCCUGUCGCUGAGAAUCAUGUCAGAUCGGUUUCGCUGUAUUCCAUUCAAAACCGGUGCCAUUUCGCCAUUUCAUUCUUUGUCAAAACAGAACCCGGAGAAGACUCCUUAAAAGGGAACUUUUUUAGUAAGGUAUUAAAACAUUGAAAACAUUUGAGCAACUAAUGCAUUGCACAAUGGCAUAUAGAAUAGAAUUCUUCUCUACGUGGUCGGUGUGUGUGUCGAGCUGUUUACUUACAGUUGUGCAAUAACUGCACCUGGAAAACCAUAUGGAAUUUCAGUACAUACAUUCGAACAGACUUGCUGAAACACACACCACAGUCCUUUUUUCCCCUUACGAUUGUGAUUGACUGACAGCGCAUGCAGACAAUAAUGUCUUAGUGUCUCAGAUGCCAAUGUUAAUCCCUACAUUUCCUAACAUCUAUUACAUUUUCUAAUCUUUUCAUUUUUGCACGGUAAACGUGUUUGUAUUUCUAAACACACAGGAGUAGGUAGUAACAGUAGUUGACCCUGUCGGUAACAAAAUAAAUCAGUUAUCAUCUAGUAAUCCAUAGAAAUCAAUGGCUUUUAAAACCCUAUUCUGAAAUUAUAUUGUGCUUAGUAAAGUGGAAAAACUAAAAUGUCAUAAUUUAUAAUAUAUUUGUGGACAUGCUGAGUUUUCAGUUGUCCCUGCAACAUAGGAUUUGAUUGACUAUGUUCUGAUAAUAUCAGGUCCUAGGUUUCUAGCUCACAUCUUCUUCUGGCUUUUUCCGAGGUUAUUAGAACACAAUAGGAGGGAUAAGGAAGGAGAAAACAUAGUUCCUGGCCAGCCAGCCUGAAAUGGUGGCGGCUACAUAAAGGAAGACUAGUGUUGCACCUUUUACUCAAGGUAGAUAGACAAUAUAAAUAUUGAUGGAUAGAUUGGUAACUUGAAUUAUGGGAUUUUUUAAAAUACUGUACACCUACCUGUCUCUGAUGUAUCUUAACUCUUUAUGCUGCUGAUAUCAUGUAUGUGUGGGCUUCCAAUAAGCAUUUUAGUCAUGUUUUCAGCUUCAUGUAAUUCUUUUGGUUGCCUUCUCCCAUGUUAUUGGAACCAACGUUUCCAACUGAAGAGUUUCUCCAAAUUAUUUUACAUGCUGCUCUCUAUGUCUCUCUCCCCUUAUGUCCUUUAUGUUUCCAUGGCCCAAUCUAGUAUUGCAUAGCUAUGUAAUUUCUGAUCAUUUUUUAUAUUUUUCAAUACUGGAAAAUAUCCUUGUAGUAUAAAUAAUUUACUAAUUCACAUCCUUAAA